UUGGUAGGAAUCAGAACCGAAUGUUUUGGGCUUAGCCAUGCAAUAUCUUGAUCUGAAGGCACCCACUGCCAGCAGCCUCAAAGCUGGCAUCGCUUGUCCUCUUGUCCAGGUGGGUUUGUGUAGACCACCAAGGUGCCCUUGCAGGGAGGCAGUUGCCCUCUGUGGAGACGAAGUUCAAAGGCCUCUGUAACUUGUCCCAGUCAAGCCUUCCUCUGUCAAGUCUGAAGGCCACCUUUGCAAACUAGUGAAGAGCUUGCUGUUGCUGUAUCUCGUGAGGAUUGAUACUGUAUGAUUUUCCAUUCCUUCCACCCAACCCCAACCUUUUUUGUUGUUUUUUGCUUUUAAACAGGCUAACCGGCCUCCUGCAAAGCUCAACCUGCUAACCUGCCAGGUGAAGACCAACCCUGAGGAGAAGAAGUGCUUUGACCUUAUUUCACAUGACAGAACUUACCACUUUCAAGCUGAAGAUGAACAGGAAUGUCAAAUAUGGAUGUCUGUGCUGCAAAAUAGCAAAGAAGAAGCUUUAAACAAUGCAUUUAAGGGGGAUGACAAUACUGGAGAAAAUAACAUCGUCCAAGAACUGACAAAGGAGAUCAUCUCAGAAGUGCAGA
rnacentral:sRNA from 1 species